UCACGCGUUGCUUAAAUGUUCUGAGCAAUGCAUUUUUAGGUGAUUUUGUCGUUGUGCGAACAUCAUAGAGUCUACUUAGACAAAACCUAGAUAGUAUAGCCUACUGCACAGUAGGCCAUGGGUUAUAGCCUGUUGUUCCUAGGCCAUAAACGCUGUAUAGCAUGUUACUGUAUUGAAUACUGUGGUGUUUUUCUAACACAAAGAUAAGUAUUCAUGAGUGUAAACAUAAACAUAGAAAAAGCACAGUAGAAAUAUGGUGUAAAAGAUAAAAAAUGGUACACCUGUAUAGGGGAAUGGAGCUUGCAAAACUGGAAGUUGCUCUGGGUAAGUCAGUGAGUGAGUGAUGAAUGAAUGUCAAGGACAUUACUAUACACCACUGUAGACUUCAUAGACAGUGAACACUUUGGCUACACUAAGUUUAUUUAAAAAAUUUUCUUCAAAAAUAAAUUAAUCUUAGCUUAUUGUAACUUUUUAACUUUAUAAAUUUUUAAUUUUUAAAAAAACUUUAGACUUUUGUAGUAACACUUAAAACACAAA
rnacentral:lncRNA from 1 species